rnacentral:lncRNA from 1 species
CUCACCUGGCCCCAGCGCGGAGCCGGAUCACACCUGCCUGCUGGGUGAGCCGAGGGCAUUCGCGGAAGGGAAGAGACAAGACCUGGGAAGGGACGCCUGUGGCUUAGAAAGACCCUCAGGCAGGGCCGGGCGUGGGGCGCGCUGAUAAAAAUUCCUGGAGCUGUAUUAUUCACAUCGCAGAUUUGUCCCUUUGCCUCAAUCUAAAAGGAAUGGGAAAGAACAGCCGCUGGGCUCUCAUUUGCUUCCAGCUUACACAGAUUCAACUAUCAAUUAUCCCAGAGGAGAGGCGUGCAGUGCAGGGCGUUGGGCCACGAAACUGAAAGCUGCUGGCGAGGCGCGUGGGGGAGGUCGAUUUCUGCGUCCUGCUGCCUCCACGCACAGUGAGAACCCACCCCGCCACUGCGUUCCUGUCCUCACAGGUAAAGUCAGGAUAAUAAUAUCUACCUCACGGGGGAUUCGAGGAAGUGGUGGGAGCGUAAAGCCCCGUCUGGUAGAGUGAAUACCUGAGCAAUGGCCUUCCGGUCCCGUCUUCAGCACAGCAGGACGAAAAUGUCUUCUGUUGGGAUCCCAGAGAAGAUCCAGACGCUGACACCUGCCCCUACCUCUCUACUUCUCAUCAUACCGGUCACCUGGAAGAAGGGUCCAUUCAAAGCAAAGCCUGUAGCCAAUGAGUUGUUUCUGCCAUCAAACAGUCAAGCAUAUGAGGCCCAAUAGGCAGUCCUGUUUUUUUUGUGACAGAGUCUCACUCUGUCGCCAGGCUGGAGUACAGUGGCGUGAUCUCGGCUCACUGCAACCUCCACCUCCCGGGUUAAAGUGAUUCUCCUGCCUCAGCCUCCCGAGUAGCUGGGAUUACAGAUGCACGCCACCACGCCGGCUAAUUUUUGUAUUUUUAGUAGAGACGGGGUUUCACCAUGUUGGCCAGGAUGGUCUCGAUCCACUGACAUCGUGAUCCGCCCGCCUCGGCCUCCCAACGUGCUGGGAUUACAGAUGCGCCGGCCAGGCAGUCCUGUUAAGCCAUGCCACACAGCUUAAAAAAAGACACUGGCAAGCUCAAGUCCCGAAGUUACCAGCUGAAGGAAGAGACUUAAACCAAACCAAGGGCUUCCUAUGACAGUUCUGAAAUACCCUCUUCCCUCUUGAGUCCAUACAACUGAGAAAAUAGAACGGCCAGUCACCGUGGCUCGUGCCUGUAAUUCUGGCACUUUGGUAGGCAGAGGCAGGCAGAUCACCUGAGGUCAGGAGUUUGAGACCAGCCUGGCCAACAUGGUGAAAGCCCGUCUCUACAAAAAUACAAAAAUUAGCCGGGCAUGGUGGCGCAUGCCUGUAGUCCCAGCUACUCGGGAGGCUGAGGCAUGAGAAUUGCUUGACCCGGGAGGCGGAGGUUGCAGUGAGCUGAGAUCGUGCCACUGCACUCCAGCCUGGGUGACAGAGCGAGCCUCUGUCUCAAAAAGAAAAAACAACAACAAAAAGGGAAAACCAAAGGUAAAAUUUGAUCCACAGGACUGGCCACAUUUCUACACUGGUAAAAUCAUGGCCUUGCUGAAGCAUUGAUCAGGAAGGGAUAAGACCCAGAGAAUCCAAAUGGAGACAAAUGAGAGGAUUUGGAAAACCUGAAGUUCUCUGAAUCACCCAGUCCUCAAAGAGCCUCCUUCGUCAGCGGAAACCCUCUUCUCCAGUCUUCUGACACACUUCGUAACGACACUGCCAUUUCUUUGCAUCCUUUGCAGUCUCACUGCAAGAGCAAGCCAGUUCUCAUGCAUUACCCUCGACUGUCUCCAGAAUGGACAGUUAGAUCCCAGCACUUCAGAAAGAAGGACAAUGGCAAGCUCAAACCAGCGAGGAUCAAGAUUAGAAACCAACAUGAUUUUGGGAUUUUCCUAACUAAGGGUGCUUAAUAAAUGGGUGGAAAGGUAUCAUUUUACACUGGUCUGAUGUUGUUGAUAUACAUUGCAGAGAUUCUGGAUUGACUGUGCUAGCAGGAGAAGCUGGGAGUGACUUCUGAGCUGGACUGACCACUGGACGCCAAGUGAUUAUCCCUAAUGUAUUACAUGUCAUUUGCAACCCAAGCUGUCCGUCAUGUACUGGGCCAUCUGACACACUCAUAAAAUCCCAUUACCAACUGGAAAUGGUUUAUGUGGGACUAGCUCCUAACCAGGCACAUCAUUGCUUCAACUGAUUCAUGAGCAGAAGAGUCUUUGCUGGCAACACAUGAACUGUGAUGGAUUCAAUCACUUAGGCUUUCCAUUAUCAAUGCAGACCUGGCCCCUGGGUGCACAGGGUUAUCAGUGACCACCCCUGAAUGCCGCAACUGACCAGACUCCAGGGACACCAUGGACUACUUAGUUGCAGACUGAUGACUUUGGACCUCUUCCAUUAUGGAAAGGGCAGUGAUUUCUUUUCACUGAAACAGGCUCAUGUCUGACUUUGGAACUGACCUCUCUGCCUGUAGAUCAUCAUGGCAUGCUCUACAAAAUUGCUUCUGACAACGGAAUUCACUUUACAGUGAAAGAGGGAAAGCAGUGGGUGAUACCCUUGUCAAUGGAUCCUGUCACCCAGAAGCAGUCAUCUGUAUUCAGCUGUGACAUGAUUUAUUGAAGAUUUCAUUUCAGGACUGAGAGACGAUCAUACCUAAGGAGAUUGAAAUAUCGUCCUUUAAGAUGCUUGUUUGUUCUGAACUAGGGAACAUCACGUGGUGCCGUUUCUCCCACAGCCAGACUAAACAGGUCUGGAGGAAGGGGAAGUAGGCACGGUGCAACUUCCAUCUUACUUAAUGACUCUCACUCUCUUCAACUUUUUUUCCACCAAUUAGCGAUUUUAUUCCCAGGAAAGGAAGGUUGCACCAUUGAGGCAGCUGACCGUUGGGGUGGCUCCCUUUGGAAAGGGGAUAUAAAGUGUUUGUAUGAGUGAUGGUUCCAUUAAAGCAGACAUUUUUUAAAAAGGUGAAA